AUUGAACGCUGGCGGCAGGCCUAACACAUGCAAGUCGAGCGAGCGGCGGACAGGUGAGUAAUGUAUGGGGACUGCACGAUAGAGGGGGAUAACUACUGGAAACGCUAGCUAAUACCGCAUACUAUCGGAUAACCCAUAUGGGAUUAGCUAGUCGGGGAGGUAUUGACUCACAUCGUCGACGAUCCCUAGCUGGUCUGAGAGGAUGAUCAGCCACACUGGGACUGAGACACGGCCCAGACGCCUACGGAGGCAGCAGUGGGGAAUAUUGCACAAUGGGCGCAAGCCUGAUGCAGCCAUGCCGCGUGUAUGAAGAAGUCCUUAGGGUUGUAAAGUACGUUCAGUCGGGAGGCGUUACCGACAGAAGAAGCACCGGCUAACUCCGUGCCAGCAGCCGCGGUAAUAC
rnacentral:rRNA from 1 species